GCCACCUUAGCUCAGUUGGUAGAGCAAUCGCUUCGUAAGCGAGAGGUCGUCAGUUCAAGUCUGAUAGGUGGCUCCA
rnacentral:tRNA from 1 species